rnacentral:tRNA from 1 species
GGGGAAUUGGCUCAGAUGGUAGAGCGCUCGUUUUGCAUGCGAGAGGUACCGGGAUCGAUACCCGGAUUCUCCA